GACGAACGCUGGCGGCGUGCCUAAUACAUGCAAGUAGAACGCUGAAGGAGGAGCUUGCUUCUCUGGAUGAGUUGCGAACGGGUGAGUAACGCGUAGGUAACCUGCCUGGUAGCGGGGGAUAACUAUUGGAAACGAUAGCUAAUACCGCAUAAUAGCAGUUAUUGCAUGAUAACUGUUUGAAAGGUGCAAUUGCACCACUACCAGAUGGACCUGCGUUGUAUUAGCUAGUUGGUGGGGUAACGGCUCACCAAGGCGACGAUACAUAGCCGACCUGAGAGGGGGAUCGGCCCCACUGGGACUGAGACACGGCCCAGACUCCUACGGGAGGCAGCAGUAGGGAAUCUUCGGCAAUGGACGGAAGUCUGACCGAGCAACGCCGCGUGAGUGAAGAAGGUUUUCGGAUCGUAAAGCUCUGUUGUAAGAGAAGAACGGGUGUGAGAGUGGAAAGUUCACACUGUGACGGGAUCUUACCAGAAAGGGACGGCAAACUACGU
rnacentral:rRNA from 1 species